CAAAACCCCGCAAGGGGUUAGUAGAGUGGCGAACGGGUGAGUAACACGCUGGGUGACCUACCUUCGAAUGGGGGAUAACGUCCCGAAAGGGACGCUAAUACCGCAUAACAUCCUGCUUUUGAACAAGUGGAGAUCAAAGCCGGGGAUCGCAAGACCUGGCGUUUGAAGAGGGGCCCGCGUCUGAUUAGCUAGUUGGUGAGGUAACGGCUCACCAAGGCGACGAUCAGUAUCCGGCCUGAGAGGGCGGACGGACACACUGGGACUGAGACACGGCCCAGACUCCUACGGGAGGCAGCAGUGGGGAAUUGUUCGCAAUGGGCGCAAGCCUGACGACGCAACGCCGCGUGGAGGAUGAAGGUCUUCGGAUUGUAAACUCCUGUUGCCCGGGACGAAACGCUUCGACCUAACACGUCGGAGUUUGACGGUACCGGGUGAGGAAGCCCCGGCUAACUCUGUGCCAGCAGCCGCGGUAAUACAGAGGGGGCAAGCGUUGUUCGGAAUUACUGGGCGUAAAGGGCGCGUAGGCGGCCUUCUAAGUCGAACGUGAAAUCCCCGGGCUCAACCCGGGAACUGCGUCCGAUACUGGAAGGCUUGAAUCCGGGAGAGGGAUGCGGAAUUCCAGGUGUAGCGGUGAAAUGCGUAGAUAUCUGGAGGAACACCGGUGGCGAAGGCGGCAUCCUGGACCGGCAUUGACGCUGAGGCGCGAAAGCCAGGGGAGCAAACGGGAUUAGAUACCCCGGUAGUCCUGGCCCUAAACGAUGAAUGCUUGGUGUGGCGGGUAUCGAUCCCUGCCGUGCCGAAGCUAACGCAUUAAGCAUUCCGCCUGGGGAGUAC
rnacentral:rRNA from 1 species